rnacentral:lncRNA from 1 species
UCCACGUGGUGGGAGUAGGGCUUUGGACCAGUGAUCAUUAACCACCUCUGGGUUAAACCAGCCCAAGGUGAUUGCAAUUCACACUACAAGAGGCCCCUCUUCUGUGGUUGAAAUGGAAAUCAAGUUUGAAAUGUCAAGCAGUUGUCUGAGGCAUAGCAGUCAGAGAAAUUGAACUGUCAGAAACUAACACAAGAAUAAUAAGAGGAUAUUUCUUCUUCAUUGGACACCAGAGAUGAAUAGCAGGCUUACAAGGAAAAAAUCCAACUCUCUUUUGUAUUAUCUUAAAGUCAUUCAAUCCAGUGAUUUAGAGCAUUUUUAUCCAUGUGAGAAACUGAUUACCACAACAGAGAGACUUACAAGCAAAUGCAACGAAUGGAAGCUUGAAGGACUAUCAAUCAAGGAGAGAAGGGAAGAUUUCAGAGAAGAAUUUGGUCAGGGAGACAGUUAAGAAAGUCAGCAGCUGAAACUGGGCACUCUUUCCUUUUGAACUUGGAGGAAAGGAGCCGGCAGAUAGACUGCUCUGAAUUCCUGGCUAUUUACUUCACAUUGAAAGAAAGAUCCUUUUCAAGUUAUUAACCAUAUCCCCUCAAAGACAAAUCAACCUUACUUCCUUAUAUUGAACUUUAUAAUAGAUUAGGGAAACCAUAAAUUCCCUCUGCCCUACCCCAACUCCCUAACUUCCUUCCUUUAAAAUAAAUCCCCUUUUGAAAGUAUUAUCUUGUGAAAU